AUUGAACGCCGGCGGCAGGCCUAUCACAUGCAAGUCGAGCGGAGCGGCGGACGGGUGAGUAAUGCCUAGGAAUCUGCCUGGUAGUGUGGGACCACGUCCGGAACCGGGCGCUAAUACCGCAUACAAUCAGAUGAGCCUAGGUCGGAUUAGCUAGUUGGUGGGGUAAAGGCAUACCAAGGCGACGAUCCGUAACUGGUCUGAGAGGAUGAUCAGUCACAUUAGAACUAGGAGACGGUCCAGCCUCCUACGGAAGGCAGAAGUGGAGAAUAUUGGACGAUGGGCGAAAGCCUGAUCCAGACAUGCCGCGUGUGUGAAGAAAGUCUUCGGAUUGUAAAGCACUUUAAGUUAGGAAGCGUUACCAACAGAAUAAGCACCGGCUAACUUCGUGCCAGCCGCCGCGGUAAUAC
rnacentral:rRNA from 1 species